rnacentral:rRNA from 1 species
AGGAAAAGAAACCAACCGGGAUUGCCUUAGUAACGGCGAGUGAAGCGGCAAAAGCUCAAAUUUGAAAUCUGGUACCUUCGGUGCCCGAGUUGUAAUUUGGAGAGGGCAACUUUGGGGCCGUUCCUUGUCUAUGUUCCUUGGAACAGGACGUCAUAGAGGGUGAGAAUCCCGUGUGGCGAGGAGUGCGGUUCUUUGUAAAGUGCCUUCGAAGAGUCGAGUUGUUUGGGAAUGCAGCUCUAAGUGGGUGGUAAAUUCCAUCUAAAGCUAAAUAUUGGCGAGAGACCGAUAGCGAACAAGUACAGUGAUGGAAAGAUGAAAAGAACUUUGAAAAGAGAGUGAAAAAGUACGUGAAAUUGUUGAAAGGGAAGGGCAUUUGAUCAGACAUGGUGUUUUGUGCCCUCUGCUCCUUGUGGGUAGGGGAAUCUCGCAUUUCACUGGGCCAGCAUCAGUUUUGGUGGCAGGAUAAAUCCAUAGGAAUGUAGCUUGCCUCGGUAAGUAUUAUAGCCUGUGGGAAUACUGCCAGCUGGGACUGAGGACUGCGACGUAAGUCAAGGAUGCUGGCAUAAUGGUUAUAUGCCGCCCGUCUUGAAC